rnacentral:rRNA from 1 species
UCAUAUGCUUGUCUCAAAGAUUAAGCCAUGCAUGUCUGAGUAUAAGCAAUUAUACGGCGAAACUGCGAAUGGCUCAUUAUAUAAGUUAUCGUUUAUUUGAUAGCACCUUACUACUUGGAUAACCGUGGUAAUUCUAGAGCUAAUACAUGCUGAAAACCCCGACUUCGGAAGGGGUGUGUUUAUUAGAUUAAAAACCAAUGCCCUCUGGGCUCUCUGGUGAUUCAUGAUAACCUCUCGAAUCGCAUGGCCUUGCGCCGGCGAUGGUUCAUUCAAAUUUCUUCCCUAUCAACUUUCGAUGUUUGGGUAGUGGCCAAACAUGGUUGCAACGGGUAACGGAGGGUUAGGGCUCGGCCCCGGAGAAGGAGCCUGAGAAACGGCUACUACGUCCAAGGAAGGCAGCAGGCGCGCAAAUUACCCAAUCCCGACGCGGGGAGGUAGUGACAAUAAAUACUGAUACAGGGCUCUUUUGGGUCUUGUAAUUGGAAUGAGUACAAUUUAAAUCCCUUAACGAGGAACAAUUGGAGGGCAAGUCUGGUGCCAGCAGCCGCGGUAAUUCCAGCUCCAAUAGCGUAUAUUAAAGUUGUUGUGGUUAAAAAGCUCGUAGUUGAACCUUGGGCCUGGCUGGCCGGUCCGCCUCACCGCGUGCACUGGUCCGGCCGGGCCUUUCCCUCUGUGGAGCCCCAUGCCCUUCGCUGGGCGUGGCGGGGAAGCAGGACUUUUACUUUGAAAAAAUUAGAGUGCUCCAGGCAGGCCUAUGCUCGAAUACAUUAGCAUGGAAUAAUGAAAUAGGACGCGCGGUUCUAUUUUGUUGGUUUCUAGGACCGCCGUAAUGAUUAAUAGGGACAGUCGGGGGCAUCAGUAUUCAAUUGUCAGAGGUGAAAUUCUUGGAUUUAUUGAAGACUAACUACUGCGAAAGCAUUUGCCAAGGAUGUUUUCAUUAAUCAGGAACGAAAGUUAGGGGAUCGAAGACGAUCAGAUACCGUCGUAGUCUUAACCAUAAACUAUGCCGACUAGGGAUCGGACGAUGUUAUCUCUUGACUCGUUCGGCACCUUGCGAGAAAUCAAAGUGCUUGGGCUCCAGGGGGAG